rnacentral:RNase_P_RNA from 1 species
GGAGUCGGCCGGGCAGUCGCUGUGCUUCGUUUAAUGAGGUGUGGAGGAAAGUCCGGGCUCCACAGGACAGAGUGCCAGGUAACGCCUGGGCGGCGUGAGCCGACGGAAAGUGCCACAGAAAAUAUACCGCCGAUGAUUCGAAGCCUGUCUUCGAAAACAGGUAAGGUUGAAAUGGUGCGGUAAGAGCGCACCGCGCUGCUGGCAACAGCAGUGGCAGGGUAAACCCCACUUGGAGCAAGACCGAAUAGGGGGACGCUUGGUGUGGUCCGCACAAGUCCCCGGGUAGGUCGCACGAGGUGCACGGCGACGUGCAUCCCAGAUGAAUGACUGUCCUCGACAGAACCCGGCUUACAGGCCGGCUUCCACC